AUUGAACGCUGGCGGCAGGCCUAACACAUGCAAGUCGAACGGUAGCACAGAGAGCUUGCUCUCGGGUGACGAGUGGCGGACGGGUGAGUAAUGUCUGGGAAACUGCCCGAUGGAGGGGGAUAACUACUGGAAACGGUAGCUAAUACCGCAUAACGUCCUCGGACCAAAGUGGGGGACCUUCGGGCCUCACACCAUCGGAUGGGCCCAGAUGGGAUUAGCUAGUAGGUGGGGUAAUGGCUCACCUAGGCGACGAUCCCUAGCUGGUCUGAGAGGAUGACCAGCCACACUGGAACUGAGACACGGUCCAGACUCCUACGGGAGGCAGCAGUGGGGAAUAUUGCACAAUGGGCGCAAGCCUGAUGCAGCCAUGCCGCGUGUAUGAAGAAGGCCUUCGGGUUGUAAAGUACUUUCAGCGGGGAGGGAGGCGAUGUGGUUAAUAACCGCAUCGAUUGACGUUACCCGCAGAAGAAGCACCGGCUAACUCCGUGCCAGCAGCCGCCGUAA
rnacentral:rRNA from 1 species